rnacentral:misc_RNA from 1 species
AUGCGUUGACACAUCGGAAAUAUAAGCUUCUGGGUUCUUUGCUGAAACCAAGUCUUUCUUUGAAUCAUCCUCUGAGUCCCUGUUCUUACAUUUGUCACGAAUCAUCUCUGGCAUUUUACUGCUUGAACUCCAUCUAGACUUUUCAACAACAGGGCAAAAGGUCUGGUUCUCGUCAUCGAGUGCAUCAUCUUGUAUAAUUUUUUUGGAAGAUACAUCUGAUUCCACUUCACUUGUGUUCCUUGUAUUUGCAUCCUUCGU